UAACACGUGGCCAACCUACCCUUGGGACAGGGACAACCCCGGGAAACUGAGGUUAAUCCCUGAUAGGUGAAAACUCCUGGAAUGGUUUUUCGCUUAAAGGGCAUUUAAACCAUGCUAUAGGUGUCGCCCAAGGAUGGGGCCGCGGCCGAUCAGGUUGUUGGUGAGGUAACGGCUCACCAAGCCUAUAACCGGUACGGGCCGUGAGAGCGGAAGCCCGGAGAUGGGCACUGAGAUAAGGGCCCAGGCCCUACGGGGCGCAGCAGUUACGAAAACUCCCCAAUUCACGAAAGUGUGAGGGGGCUAUCCCGAGUGCCGUCCGCUGAGGAUGGCUUUUCCCCAUUGUAUAAAGCUGGGGGAAUAAGGAGAGGGCAAGACUGGUGUCAGCCGCCGCGGUAAUACCAGCUCUCCGAGUGGUGGGGACGUUUAUUGGGCCUAAAGCAUCCGUAGCCCGUUGGGAAAGUCCUCCGUUAAAUCCACCGAUUCAAUCGGUGGGCUGCGGGGGAUACUGUUCAACUAGGGAGCGGGAGAGGCUGACCGUAUUCUCGGAGUAGGGGUGAAAUCCUAUAAUUCCGAGAGGACCACCAGUGGCGAAGGCUGUCAGCUAGAACGCGUCCGACGGUGAGGGAUGAAAGCUGGGGGAGCGAACCGGAUUAGAUACCCGGGUAGUCCCAGCUGUAAACUCUGCAGGCUAGGUGUUGGAGCGGCUACGUGCCGCCUCAGUGCCCAAGGGAAGCCGUUAAGCCUGCCGCCUGGGAAGUACGGUCGCAAGGCUGAAACUUAAAGGAAUUGGCGGG
rnacentral:rRNA from 1 species